rnacentral:rRNA from 1 species
GCGAUAACACAGCGAAUCUGCGAACGGCUCAUUAAAUCGGUGAUAGUUGAUUUGAAAGUAAAUACUACUUGGAUAACCGUGGUAAUUCUAGAGCUAAUACAUGCCUCGAAAGGGCCCUCCUCACGGGGGGUCUGCACUUAUUAGAUACAAAACCAACCCAGGGGGCCAACCCCUGGUGCCAGGUGAUUCUAGAUAAUUUGCGGAUCGCAUGCCGCAAGGCGGCGACGCUUCUUUCAAAUUUCUGCCCUAUCAACUUUGGAUGGUAGUAUAGGGGACUACCAUGGUUGUAACGGGUAACGGGGAAUUAGGGUUCGAUUCCGGAGAGGGAGCCUGAGAAACGGCUACCACUUCCAAGGAAGGCAGCAGGCGCGAAAAUUACCCAAUGGUGACGUCUACCGAGGUAGUGACAAUAAAUAACAAUGCGGUCCACACACGUGGGCCGUAAUUGGAAUGGGUUGGGUUCAAACCCCCCAACGAGGAACAAUUGGAGGACAAGUCUGGUGCCAGCACCCGCGGUAAUUCCAGCUCCAAUAGCGUAUAUUAAAGUUGUUGCAGUUAAAAAGCUCGUAGUCGGAUUCAGGGGGGCACGCGGACUCGGUCUGCCCUACCGGGUGUGUACUGUCCGGUGCCCUCCGCUAUGCUUGGCAGCCCCCAGCUGGCAUUAAGUUGCUGGUUGGACGGCUCCAGGCCGUUUACCUUGAGCAAAUUGGGAUGCUCAAAGUAGGUUACCUACGCCUUGAACAUAUUAGCAUGGGAUAAUAGAAUAGGACCGCGUCUCUAUUUUGUUGGUUUUGGGAGGCUAGGUAAUGAUCAACAGGGGCAGUCGGGGUGACUCAUAUUUCGUGGGGAGAGGUGAAAUUCUUGGAUCCAUGAAAGAUGAACUAGUGCGAAAGCAUCUCACAAGUCUGCCUCCAUUGAUCAAGAACGAAAGUUAGGGGAUCGAAGACGAUCAGAUACCGUCGUAGUCUUAACUGUAAACGUUGCCGACCAUGGAUCCGGAGGUGUCGAUGGAUGACCCCCUGGGCACAUUGUGAGAAAUCAUGAGUGUUUGGGUUCCGGGGGGAGUAUGGUCGCAAGGCUGAAACUUAAAGGAAUUGACGGAAGGGCACCACCAGGAGUGGAGCCUGCGGCUUAAUUUGACUCAACACGGGGAAACUUACCAGGUCCAGACAUAGUGAGGAUUGACAGAUUGAUAGUUCUUUCUUGAUUCUAUGGGUGGUGGUGCAUGGCCGUUCUUAGUUGGUGGAGUGAUUUGUCUGGUUAAUUCCGAUAACGAACGAGACCACNACUUACUAAAUAGUGGGCCUGAGCCCCUACCGGGUGAAGGGUUGGCCUUUGGCGCGUCCUCNACGCGUCAUUUGCCUUCUUGGAUCCUUGGGGCUUCGGGUCCUGCUUCUUAGAGGGACAACCUGUCGGUAAGCGGGAGGAAGUUUGUGGCAAUAACAGGUCUGUGAUGCCCUUAGAUGUCCUGGGCCGCACGCGGACUACAAUGGUUGCGCCAAGGAGCUACCUGUCUCGAAAGAGGUGGGGAAUCUUCCCAAACGCNUCCAUGAUUGGGAUAGAGGAUUGCAAUUAUUUCUCUUCAACGAGGAAUUCCUAGUAACUGUUUGUCAUCAACGAACGACGAUUACGUCCCUGCCCUUUGUACACACCGCCCGUC